rnacentral:piRNA from 1 species
UGGACCUUUCUCAGAAGCCACAGUGGGCC